AGGUACCACUUAUUUCUUUUCUCUUCAACUUGGUUUUUGCACGCGAGCAACAAAGUUUCUUCGUCUCCGCAUUUUUCUUCUACAAAGCUAGCUUUCUCCACAACCUUCUUCAAGAAUUUACACUUAGAUGCAUAGUGACCGAUCUUGUUGUAGUUGAAGCACUUGAUUUGUGAUUUGUCACACCUCGGCCAUGAAUUUCCUCUUCCACAUCCUCUUGUUGCUUGUGGAUUUCAAAUU
rnacentral:lncRNA from 1 species